CGGGCGCAGGAAAUUUGAGAGGAGCUGUCCUUAGUACGAGAGGACCGGGAUGGACGCACCGCUGGUGUACCAGUUGUUCUGCCAAGGGCAUCGCUGGGUAGCUAUGUGCGGACGGGAUAAGUGCUGAAAGCAUCUAAGCAUGAAGCCCCCCUCAAGAUGAGAUUUCCCAUUCCGCAAGGAAGUAAGAUCCCUGAAAGAUGAUCAGGUUGAUAGGUCUGAGGUGGAAGUGUGGCGACACAUGGAGCUGACAGAUACUAAUCGAUCGAGGACUUAACCAA
rnacentral:rRNA from 1 species